rnacentral:rRNA from 1 species
GAUGAACGCUGGCGGCGUGCCUAAUACAUGCAAGUCGAGCGAACGGACGAGAAGCUUGCUUCUCUGAUGUUAGCGGCGGACGGGUGAGUAACACGUGGAUAACCUACCUAUAAGACUGGGAUAACUUCGGGAAACCGGAGCUAAUACCGGAUGAUAUUUUGAACCGCAUGGUUCAAAAGUGAAAGACGGUCUUGCUGUCACUUAUAGAUGGAUCCGCGCUGCAUUAGCUAGUUGGUAAGGUAACGGCUUACCAAGGCAACGAUGCAUAGCCGACCUGAGAGGGUGAUCGGCCACACUGGAACUGAGACACGGUCCAGACUCCUACGGGAGGAAGCAGUAGGGAAUGUUCCGCAAUGGGCGAAAGCCUGACGGAGCAACGCCGCGUGAGUGAUGAAGGUCUUCGGAUCGUAAAACUCUGUUAUUAGGGAAGAACAUAUGUGUAAGUAACUGUGCACAUCUUGACGGUACCUAAUCAGAAAGCCACGGCUAACUACGUG